rnacentral:SRP_RNA from 1 species
GCCGGGCAGCAUACGGUCAGCUCCUCCUGAAUCCCCCCAGGGCGGAAACGCAGCAAGGGUAGGGAGUUGAGCGACCGGUAUGCUUGCCUUUUUUU